rnacentral:tRNA from 1 species
GCUCCCGUGGUGUAGCCCGGCCAAGCAUAAGGGACUCUCACUCCCUAGACACAGGUUCAAAUCCCGUCGGGAGCA